AAAUACUGUACAUCACAUGAUUGGUUUCUUUAUCAUUUUUGUGUAACUGAUCAGAAUCUAAGUUAAAUCUGAGACGACUGUAGGGGACAGCAGCACCACUAAAGUCACAUUUUGACCUUUAGUACCAAGGAUGACUUUUCAAGGAACUAAAAGGUUCCUUCAGCCCAUUGUUCUCUGUGUUUCCACCCCAGUCUGAAGUCCUGAAAAGAUUAAGUAAAUUAGUCUGAUGAUGUAUGAAAAAGCAACAUGAUGGGACGAGGGCUGCUGCUGGUCACAGGGUCAGUGUACCAACCUAAUUCAUCUAAAAAACUCCAUAAGACAAUGACACCUUAGGCUCAUCUCACUGCAACAACAUUUACUGCUGCAAGUUGGACGUAAUGAACUAAAUGCAGAGGAGGAAAGUGACAAUAAGAGCGUCUGUCUCCACAGUAAAACAUCUUAUACUACCAUCUAUAUCUUGAACCAUACUGAAGACUCUGAUACAGCUGACAGGAUGACAUCACACAAAGCAGUGACCCUCCCACCUGCAGCUCUGCAUAUCAGCUAUAUGAGACUCUGCUAGUUUCUGUCUCACAGAACAUGGAUAUAAUCAUCCUUCAACGAGGCCUCCUCACACUGUCAGUCUUUGUGCUCUGGACUUCAGGUCUGACUGAUGGAAGUGAUGUCACCCAGACUGACACACUGUGGGAGAAACAGGGUGACAGUGCAACAAUACACUGCAACCAGACCAAGGGUGCUCGGUAUUCCCAGAUGUACUGGUACAGACAGCUGCCAGGAGAAACUAUGAAACUAAUCGUGUUCACAAGAAGUGGCAAUGAAAAUCAUGAUUUUGGAGAAUUCAACAACGGGAAAUUUGCAGCCACCAAGCCCAACGCUGAGAGUGGGACAUUCACAGUGAAGAAUCUGGAGCCAGAAGAUAAAGGAUUGUAUUUCUGUGCUGGGGACCUCGAGGACCACAAACCAUCCAAGUUACACUUUGAUUCACCAUGUGGGUUUUGAUAAGGCAGCGAGCAGGAGCAGAGAACGUCACACACUGCAGAGACCCUCCUACAACUCUUCAUAUCUCUGUAACUACACCUACAGUUAUUAUGAUACAUGGACCUUUACAACAUGGACAUUAUCAAACUCCUCA